rnacentral:rRNA from 1 species
GAUGAACGCUGGCGGCGUGCCUAAUACAUGCAAGUCGAGCGAACGGACGAGAAGCUUGCUUCUCUGAUGUUAGCGGCGGACGGGUGAGUAACACGUGUAUAACCUACCUAUAUGACUGGGAUAACUUCGGGAAACCGGAGCUUAUCCCAGAUGAUAUUUUGAACCGCAUGGUUCAAAAGUGAAAGUCGGUCUUUCUGUCACUUAUAGAUGGAUCCGCGCUGCAUUAGCUAGUUGGUAAGGUAACGGCUUACCAAGGCAACGAUGCAUAGCCGACCUGAGGGGGUGAUCGGCCACACUGGAGCUGAGACGCGGUCCAGACGCCUACGGGAGGCAGCAGUAGGGAAUCUUCCGCAAUGGGCGAAAGCCUGACGGAGCAACGCCGCGUGAGUGAUGAAGGUCUUCGGAUCGUAAAACUCUGUUAUUAGGGAAGAACAUAUGUGUAAUUAACUGUGCACAUCUUGACGGUACCGAAUCAGAAAGCAACGGCUAACUACGUG